rnacentral:piRNA from 1 species
UGCCAAUCUUCUUGUUGUCACUCUGC